UGGGGGAUAUUGGACAAUGGGGGGAACCCUGAUCCAGCGACGCCGCGUGAGUGAAGAAGUAUCUCGGUAUGUAAAGCUCUAUCAGCAGGGAAGAAAGAAAUGACGGUACCUGAGUAAGAAGCCCCGGCUAACUACGUGCCAGCAGCCGCGGUAAUACGUAGGGGGCAAGCGUUAUCCGGAAUUACUGGGUGUAAAGGGAGCGUAGACGGUGAAGUAAGUCUGGAGUGAAAGGCGGGGGCCCAACCCCCGGACUGCUCUGGAAACUAUUUGACUGGAGUGCAGGAGAGGUAAGCGGAAUUCCUA
rnacentral:rRNA from 1 species